rnacentral:misc_RNA from 1 species
UACGAAUACGGUAUGCCGCU